GCCUGGGUGGCUCAGUCAGUUAAGCAUCCGACUUCAGCUCAGGUCAUGAUCUUGUGAUUCAUGGGUUCGAACCCCAUAUCGGGCU
rnacentral:tRNA from 1 species